rnacentral:rRNA from 1 species
CGCUUCUCUUCGGAGAGGAGUGGCGCACGGGUGAGUAACGCGUGGGAACCUGCCCUGGGGUGGGGGAUAACCGAUGGAAACGUCGGCUAAUACCGCAUACGUCCUCCGGGAGAAAGAUUUAUCGCCCUGGGAGGGGCCCGCGUCGGAUUAGGUAGUUGGUGGGGUAACGGCCUACCAAGCCUGCGAUCCGUAGCUGGUCUGAGAGGAUGAUCAGCCACACUGGGACUGAGACACGGCCCAG